rnacentral:other from 1 species
UUAUUCCUGCCCUGUGCGCGGAACGGCAUUUGCCUGGACCCUUUUAGACCCACAUUUUUAAUAAGGGACGCUGCAUCCCCGCGUGGAUUGCAGGCCUCCCGGUACCAUGGACCGGAAGUUGGAAGCGAGGUAGCGCGGGGGAGGCGACCCACCUGCCGAGUCGUGCAGGUUAUAAUCGGGUCCCCACGGCAGCGGCGGGGGUUGC